GAUGAACGCUAGCGGCAGGCUUAAUACAUGCAAGUCGAGGGGCAGCAUGAUUGUAGCAAUACAAUUGAUGGCGACCGGCAAACGGGUGCGGAACACGUACACAACCUUCCAACAAGUGGGGGAUAGCCCAGAGAAAUUUGGAUUAAUACCCCGUAACAUAGCGAUGUGGCAUCACAUUGCUAUUAUAGAUUUUUCGCUUGUUGAUGGGUGUGCGUCUGAUUAGAUAGUUGGCGGGGUAACGGCCGACCAAGGCUACGAUCAGUAGCUGAUGUGAGGACAGAGGCAGCCACAGGGGCACUGAGACACGGGCCCGACUCCUACGGGAGGCAGCAGUAAGGAAUAUUGGACAAUGGACGUAAGUCUGAUCCAGCCAUGCCGCGUGAAGGAUUAAGGUCCUCUGGAUUGUAAACUUCUUUUAUAAGGGACGAAAAAAGGCUUUUCUCAGUCGUCUGACGGUACCUUAUGAAUAAGCACCGGCUAACUCCGUGCCAGCAGCCGCCGUAAAAC
rnacentral:rRNA from 1 species